rnacentral:rRNA from 1 species
GACGAACGCUGGCGGCGUGCUUAACACAUGCAAGUCGAACGGAAAGGCCCUUCGGGGUACUCGAGUGGCGAACGGGUGAGUAACACGUGGGUGAUCUGCCCUGCACUUUGGGAUAAGCCUGGGAAACUGGGUCUAAUACCGGAUAGGACCACGCGCUUCAUGGUGUGUGGUGGAAAGCUUUUGCGGUGUGGGAUGGGCCCGCGGCCUAUCAGCUUGUUGGUGGGGUAAUGGCCUACCAAGGCGACGACGGGUAGCCGGCCUGAGAGGGUGACCGGCCACACUGGGACUGAGAUACGGCCCAGACUCCUACGGGAGGCAGCAGUGGGGAAUAUUGCACAAUGGGCGCAAGCCUGAUGCAGCGACGCCGCGUGAGGGAUGACGGCCUUCGGGUUGUAAACCUCUUUCAAUAGGGACGAAGCGCAAGUGACGGUACCUAUAGAAGAAGCACCGGCCAACUACGUG